UACAGAGGUCUCAAGCGUUUGUUCGGAUUCAUUGGGCGUAAAGGGUGCGUAGGUGGCGCCGUAAGUCAGGUGUGAAAUUUCGGAGCUUAACUCCGAAACUGCAUUUGAUACUGCGGUGCUUGAGGACUGGAGAGGAGACUGGAAUUUACGGUGUAGCAGUGAAAUGCGUAGAGAUCGUAAGGAAGACCAGUGGCGAAGGCGGGUCUCGUGGACAGUUCCUGACACUGAGGCACGAAGGCCAGGGGAGCAAACGGG
rnacentral:rRNA from 1 species